CUCCGGGGCGGGCACGUGGCCGAGGCCCCAGGCCGCCCGCACAUGGGACCACCCGAUGGGCGCCCAUCCCGCCCGUCCCCCUCCGUCGGGGUGUCGAUGGCUGCGGCUCCGGCCAGAAGAGUCCGCCCCGGACGCCUGCGAGGGCGGGUAACCUGCACCCCGCCACCGGCCCACGCCCGCACUCACCGUGACCGUCACCUCAUCGUCGUGUAGGAUGAGGGCCGAGUAGAUGCAGGCGAGCUCCGAGACGGAGGCCAUGGUGCGGGCGAGGGCUAGGCAGGGUCUGCCGGGCGCGGUGCUAGUCGCCGGAUGAAGUGAGGGCCUCACCCCAACGCGGCCUUAGCUUCCUCGGAAGGACCGAGCACCUUAGCGGAAACUGAGGAAAAGGAAGUACCCUUCUUCGCGCAGCCGCUUAUACAGGCCACGCGGACCAAUCGGCGCCCGAGCUUGCCGGAAGAGGCGGGACUAGAGACUCUCGCGACAACACACCAAAGACGCCUGCGCAAGCGCGUAUCUCGCUCGUUUGCGGGUUCAAAAAGUUGCUAGGCGCUUGCAGACGCCAGUUCCCGUGGCUUGGGUAAAAACUCAGCUUGUGAACAGUAAAAAUAUUUUUAGCAAAAAGUUACCUAGAUAAAUAGGUAUCACUCCCACCUCCUGUAGCCCGUGUGAGAGUGUUUGAGCAGGCAGUGACCUGCUGAAGAGCAGGAAAUAGGUUUUAACCUGGAGGUCCCGGUGCUUAGCGCAGCUUCUCGGAUAAAAUACUAAGUGAAUAUAGGAGAAAAUGAGAAACCUGCAACGUUACUGUAGCACAGGCAUUUGAGCGCCUACUGUGACCCAGGCACUGAGCCACACUCUGCAAGGAUUCAUUUAAUCCUCACCCAGCAUAAGAGCUUGUGGGAUCUUAGUUCCUGGUCCAGGGAUCGAACUCGGGCCCUCGGCAGUGAAAGCGCAGAGUCCUAACCAAGGACUGCCAGGGAAUUCCCUCAAGUGACAGUACAGUCAAAGGUGAUGUCGUUUGUCUAGUGCUUCAAUCAGCCUGGGAAGAGUCUGCUCGUCAUUGAUAUCCAAAAUUUCGCAGGAUGGCAAAGGUGGAAAACUCUGCAAAACCACUUCUGAAACCAGCAGUUCUGUAUUGAGUUAUUAAAAAUAAAAAGUUAGUUACACAGGAAAAAAAGUUACUCAAACAAGUUUUAACACUGUGAUAAGAUCCCCAGUCAACAUUGUACCUUGUUGGGCUGUCAUAAUACGUCCUUAAAAAUGUUAUAAUAAAGAAGGAAAAAUGGGAAAAAAAGGUAUAUAAUAAAAGAAAUGUCACUUA